UUCCCUGGGGUGUUCGACACUCCCUUCAUUUUUGAACCUACAGUUACUUUAAACGGGAUUCCUAUAUUUCCGUAUUGUUAUGUCAGGCCUCCCUUGAGUGGAAGACAGAGGAUGCGGCUGCGGUGACCCACCUGGCAUUUUUGCUAGGAGUCAAAAAGAGGGAAACGGCACUUUGGGGAUU
rnacentral:other from 1 species